rnacentral:rRNA from 1 species
AUGUCAGCAUCAGCACCAGAAGUACUGAACAAGCUACGAUUAGUACAUUCUCCUUGCCAGAGCACGUACUGCAGAAGACUGCGGCCUGAUCGAUCCAUGGAUUGGCCAGCUCUCACCUGCUACACUGCCGCCCUGAUCAUUCUCUUCCUGCCGUUGCGGGCGUCCGACGAUCGGCUUGUCCCAGGCGAGCGGCUCUUCCCUGGCACCACCAUCAUCUCCGAUGACGGUACCUUUGCCUUGGGCUUCUUCAGCCCCUCCAACUCAACUCCGGCCAGCCUGUACUUGGGCAUAUGGUACAACGGCAUACCGGAGCUCACUUUUGUGUGGGUCGCCAACAGGGAGACGUCGGUCACCAACAGCACUUCCUCUGUGCCGACACUCUCCCUCACCAACACCUCCAACCUCGUUCUCUCUGAUGGUAGCAGCGGCCGUGUCGUUUGGACGACUGAUGUGGCCGAUGCCUCGAGCUCCGUGGCAGCAGCAGCGGUGCUUGAGAACACCGGCAACCUCGUCGUCCGGUCACCGAAUGGCACCAUGCUGUGGCAGAGCUUCGACCACCUCACCGACACGUUCCUUCCUGAAAUGAAGAUACGGAUCAGCUAUGCCACGCGUGGCACCGGCAUCCGCCUGGUGUCCUGGAAGGGGCCCGACGACCCAUCAUCGGGGCGCUUCUCCUACGGAGGCGACCCGGACACGCUCCUCCAGUUAUUCCUCUGGGAUGGGGCCCGCCCGGUGGCCCGCAGAGGGCCAUGGACGGGGUACCUGGUGAAAGGUGAGCACCAAUACCAGCAGGUUAAUGGCAGCUUGGCCGUCAUCAUCUACAUGGCCAUCGUCGACAACGAGGAGGAGAUCUACACCACUUACACAGUCUCUGCUGGCGCCCCACGCACAAGGUAUGUGGUGACAUACACUGGAGAUUACCAGCUCCAGAGCUGGAGUAGCAGCUCCUCCACAUGGAUUAUCCUCGACAAGUGGCCGUCCACUGAAUGCAACCGGUAUGGAUUUUGUGGUCCGUACGGCUACUGUGACCAGACAGCGAUGCCCAUGCCAUUGUGCAAAUGCCUUGAUGGCUUUGAGCCAGCAAGCACAGAUGAGUGGGCAGCUGGUAGGUUCUCAGCAGGGUGCCGGCGAAAGAAGGCACUGCGCGGAUGCGGUGACGGCUUCUUGGCCUUGGAAGAGAUGAAGGCACCAGAUAGGUUCACAAUUUCCGGCAGGAACAUGAGCACAUUGAAGGAGUGUGCAUCGGAGUGCAGUCGCAACUGCUCCUGUGUUGCGUAUGCAUUCGUCAACCUAGGCAAUGGCAGGUCCGGAGGAGAUGUGACGCGAUGCUUAUUGUGGGCGGGGGAGUUGAUUGACACAGCAAAGUAUGGCCAAGGGCUUGGCAGCGUCACGCUAUAUCUCCGGCUUGCAGGCUUAGAUGUAGCAGCUGGUAAGAAGAUAAAGAGCACCGCAGCUAUCAUUGUACUGGCAGUUUUAGGAACGGGUGUUGUGGCACUCCUAUGCAUUUUCGUGGCAUGGCUAAAAUUCAAAGGCAAGAACAGAAAAUGGAGAAAACACAAGAAGCCUACAUUUGAUCGUAUAAGUACCUCUUAUGAACUUCGGGAAGGAGACCCUCCACAUGAUCAUGAAUUUCCAUUUGUAAGUUUUGAGGAAAUUUCUCUAGCAACAAACAAUUUCUCCGAGACAUGUAUGAUUGGACAAGGGGGAUUUGGCAAGGUCUACAAGGGAUUAUUAGGUGGGCAAGAAGUUGCUGUCAAGAGGCUAAGUAGUGAUUCUCAACAAGGAACAAAGGAAUUCAGGAAUGAAGUAAUUUUAAUUGCCAAAUUGCAACACAGAAACUUGGUUCGGCUUCUCGGAUGUUGUGGGGAGGGAGAUGAAAAGUUGCUGAUCUAUGAGUAUCUUCCUAACAAAAGCUUAGAUGCUACCCUUUUUGAUGAUUCAAGAAGAAUGAAGUUGGAUUGGACAUCACGGUUUAAUAUAAUCAAAGGGGUUGCAAAGGGACUUCUGUAUCUCCACCAAGAUUCAAGACUAACUAUAAUUCAUAGGGAUCUCAAAGCCGGAAACGUUUUGCUAGAUGCAGAGAUGAAACCGAAGAUAGCAGACUUCGGUAUGGCGAGGAUCUUUGGCGAUAACCAACAAGAUGCAAGCACCCAACGUGUUGUGGGAACAUAUGGAUACAUGGCCCCAGAAUAUGCAAUGGAAGGUGUCUUCUCCACCAAGUCUGAUGUCUACAGCUUUGGUGUCCUAGUACUUGAGGUCGUGACUGGUAUAAAAAGAAGCUCCAGUAGUCACAUCAUGGGCUUCCCUAGCCUCAUUGUGUAUUCAUGGAAUAUGUGGAGGGAAGGAAAGACAGAUGAAUUGGUGGACAAAUAUACCAUGGAUACUUGUUCACUGGAUGAAGUUUUGAUUUGCAUCCAUGUAGCACUCCUGUGUGUCCAGGAUAAUCCAGAUGACAGGCCACUCAUGUCGUCCGUUGUGUUCAUCCUAGAGAACGGAAGCAACACACUUCCACUCCCCACUUGCCCUGCCUACUUUACACGUCGACAUGCAGAAAUGGAGCAAAUUAGAGAUGAUAUCCAGAACUCCGGGACCAGUUUUACUCUCACUGAGAUUGAGGGGAGAUGA